UACGUAGGGAGCAAGCGUUGUCCGGAAUUACUGGGCGUAAAGGGCGUGCAGGCGGCUUGUUAAGGGCAGGGUGAAAGCUCCCGGCUCAACUGGGAGAGGUCCUUGCAUACUGGCAGACUUGAGUGAGGCAGAGGAAAGUGGAAUUCCCGGUGUAGUGGUGAUAUGCGUAGAUAUCGGGAGGAACACCUGUGGCGAAGGCGGCUUUCUGGGCCUUACCUGACGCUGAGACGCGAAAGCGUGGGGAGCGAACCGG
rnacentral:rRNA from 1 species